AUUGAACGCUGGCGGCAGGCCUAACACAUGCAAGUCGAGCGGAUGAAGGGAGCUUGCUCCUGGAUUCAGCGGCGGACGGGUGAGUAAUGCCUAGGAAUCUGCCUGGUAGUGGGGGAUAACGUCCGGAAACGGGCGCUAAUACCGCAUACGACCUGAGGGAGAAAGUGGGUGAUCUUCGGACCUCACGCUAUCAGAUGAGCCUAGGUCGGAUUAGCUAGUUGGUGGGGUAAAGGCCUACCAAGGCGACGAUCCGUAACUGGUCCGAGAGGAUGAUCAGUCACACUGGAACUGAGACACGGUCCAGACUCCUACGGGAGGCAGCAGUGGGGAAUAUUGGACAAUGGGCGAAAGCCUGAUCCAGCCAUGCCGCGUGUGUGAAGAAGGUCUUCGGAUUGUAAAGCACUUUAAGUUGGGAGGAAGGGCAGUAAGUUAAUACCUUGCUGUUUUGACGUUACCAACAGAAUAAGCACCGGCUAACUUCGUG
rnacentral:rRNA from 1 species